rnacentral:rRNA from 1 species
UACGUAGGGUGCAAGCGUUGUCCGGAAUUACUGGGCGUAAAGAGCUCGUAGGCGGUUUGUCGCGUCGUCUGUGAAAACUCGAGGCUCAACCUCGAGCUUGCAGGCGAUACGGGCAGACUUGAGUACUGCAGGGGAGACUGGAAGUUCCUGGUGUAGCGGUGAAAUGACGCAGAGUAUCAGGAGGAACACCGGUGGCGAAGGCGGGUCUCUGGGCAGUAACUGACGCUGAGGAGCGAAAGCGUGGGUAGCGAACAGG